UUUCUUCAUAGGGUUUUGGGAAGACUGAGGCAAUCGUUGCUGAAGUCAGUGUUGUACUAGUGAAUCAGGAUUUUUAAUGAAGUGGGUUUGAUUACUCUUGACUGUUUUGUGAAAUCGAGUUACGUCCGUGAUGAAGAAUUAAAAGGGUGUCUAUAGGAUUGAGUAUGCGGAGUGAAUGAAAUUUAUUGGAUUAAUCUAACAAGACAGUCAAUGGACACA
rnacentral:lncRNA from 1 species